UUUUUAAUAUGCUGUCUAGAUUUGCCAUAGCUUUUCUUCCAAGGAGCAAGCGUCUUUUAAUUUUAACAGAACCUCCAUUCUGUUUUCCAUAACGACUGCACCAAUUUACAUUCCCCCCAACAGUACACCAGUUUCCUUUUUCGCCACAUCCUUAUAGCACAUGUUUCCUGUCUUUUUGCUAAUAGUCAUUCUAAUAGGUGUGAAGUGAUAAGUCGUCAUGGUUUUGAUUUGCAUUUCCCUGGUGAUUUGCAAAUUUUCAAUUGAUAGUUUUGAGGAGGAAAUUCACUGGUAUAUACAUGAGGGAGGGAACUUUGGGGAGAUCUGAACUUUAAGUUUCAGGAGACUAUAAAGAAGCUGAGCUGAGCUUUUGAAACACCCUCCGUCAAAUCUGAGGUUAUUUUAAGAAUCAGCCAGGUGUUGGGAAAUGUACUGUGGUCUGACAUAAGAUGGCCUUGCCCCAGCCUAUCUGGAUUACAGGGUGGUGGGGAGUGAUGUGCCCUGGAAGGGAUGGGAUGUGAAAGGGGACUGUCCAGGGCACAGAGUGGUUUCGGGAGGAGGCCUUAGAUUGGGGCCUCUGGGAGAGUCGUGAUGAACGUAGCUGGUCUGCGCGCUGUGCGGUGGACUCGAGGGUAAGGGCUGAGAAGCAGGGUUCUGAGCCAGGCCCUUUCCGGAGAGGCCAGUGGAGUGGCGCCCCGGUGGAGGCCUGCUGUUCCCGCAGAUCCACGAGCUCCAGGGGCGCCCUGGGGACGCCGGACACCGAUGCGGAGCCCUGAACGCACUAACAGGGCCUUCAGGAUCAUUAAACCCUUCACCAAGAGAGCACAAUGGAAGUGGUGAUUAUGAAAGCUUCUGGAAAUGGCCCAGGAGUGUAGGAGAAUGCGGAGCACAGACAAGGUUGAGAAGGAAGAAAAAAGGACCUGCUGGACUUGGUACUGGAUCCAAACUAAUGAGAACUGGUGCUCAAGGUUGAGCCCAUGGGAGUGUCUGGUACAACCUCUGAAGUGAUCCAAUGAAGAGGAAUUCAUUAUACCCACCUUACAGAGGGAAUACCUGGACAUGGGAGGAGUAAAGUACUAAAGGUCACGGUGCUGGUAAGUGACAAAGCUGGGAUUCAAACUAGGUCGUGUUUAAUGUCAAGGUGCAGGUCCUGCAAGCAUGACUCUAGACCCCUCCCCUGGCGUGUGUGAGGAAGGCACGUGACUC